AGUGAACGCUGGCGGUAGGCCUAACACAUGCAAGUCGAACGGCAGCACAGUAAGAGCUUGCUCUUACGGGUGGCGAGUGGCGGACGGGUGAGGAAUACAUCGGAAUCUACUUUUUCGUGGGGGAUAACGCAGGGAAACUUACGCUAAUACCGCAUACGACCUACGGGUGAAAGCAGGGGAUCUUCGGACCUUGCGCGAUUGAAUGAGCCGAUGUCGGAUUAGCUAGUUGGCGGGGUAAAGGCCCACCAAGGCGACGAUCCGUAGCUGGUCUGAGAGGAUGAUCAGCCACACUGGAACUGAGACACGGUCCAGACUCCUACGGGAGGCAGCAGUGGGGAAUAUUGGACAAUGGGCGCAAGCCUGAUCCAGCCAUGCCGCGUGGGUGAAGAAGGCCUUCGGGUUGUAAAGCCCUUUUGUUGGGAAAGAAAAGCAGCAGGUUAAUACCCCGCUGUUCUGACGGUACCCAAAGAAUAAGCACCGGCUAACUUCGUG
rnacentral:rRNA from 1 species